UUUUUGGAGAGUUUGAUCCUGGCUCAGAACGAACGCUGGCGGCGUGGAUUAGGCAUGCAAGUCGAGCGAUGCUUGACUUUUUUUUGUCAAGUAGAGCGGCAAACGGGUGAGUAACGCGUAGAUAAUCUGCCUUCAAAUUGGGAACAACUUGCCGAAAGGCGGGCUAAUACCGAAUGAGACUACAUCUUCGCAUGGAGAAGUAGUUAAAGGCGGGGAUUUUUUAAAUUUUCGUAAGAGAAUUUAAAAGACCUGUCGUUUGAAGAGGAAUCUGCGACCUAUCAGCUAGUUGGUGAGGUAACGGCUCACCAAGGCAUUUGACGGGUAGCUGGUCUGAGAGGAUGGUCAGCCACACUGGGACUGAGACACUGCCCAGACUCCUACGGGAGGCUGCA
rnacentral:rRNA from 1 species